GGGAGGCAGCAGUGAGGAAUAUUGGUCAAUGGGAGAGAUCCUGAACCAGCCAAGCCGCGUGAGGGAAGACGGCCCUAUGGGUUGUAAACCUCUUUUGUCGGAGAACAAAACCCGGGACGUGUCCCGGACUGCGUGUAUCCGAAGAAAAAGCAUCGGCUAACUCCGUGCCAGCAGCCGCGGUAAUACGGAGGAUGCGAGCGUUAUCCGGAUUUAUUGGGUUUAAAGGGUGCGUAGGCGGUCCGUUAAGUCAGCGGUAAAAUUGCGGGGCUCAACCCCGUCGAGCCGUUGAAACUGGCAGACUUGAGUUGGCGAGAAGUACGCGGAAUGCGCGGUGUAGCGGUGAAAUGCAUAGAUAUCGCGCAGAACUCCGAUUGCGAAGGCAGCGUACCGGCGCCAGACUGACGCUGAGGCACGAAAGCGUGGGGAU
rnacentral:rRNA from 1 species